rnacentral:lncRNA from 1 species
ACACCAAAAACAUUAGAAAAUGGAGACAUUACUUACAUCAUUGGCUAUGGUUGUUGUAUUGUGGUGGAUAUGGAGAAUUGUGGAGUGGGUUUGGGUUAAGCCUAAGAUGCUAGAGAGUUACCUCAGAAAACAAGGUCUUGUCGGCACUCGUUACACGCCUCUUGUCGGAGAUGUGAGAAGAACUUUUAGCAUGUUGAAGGAAGCAAGAUCGAGACCAAUGAAACCAACGGAUGAUCUCAUUUCACUUGUCAUGCCUUACUCCUUUCAAAUGCUCAAUACUUACGGUAGAUAUGUUUUUCUUGGUUUGGAUUAUAGAUUUUUUUAUUUAUAAGUAAAUUGUCCUGAUAUAUGUAUGUGGCUGCAACAGGAAAUACCUUUUUCACAUGGUUAGGACCCGUACCAUCCAUCACAAUAAUGAAUCCACAACUGAUCAAAGAAGUGUAUAACAAAGUUUAUGAUUUCCCAAAGACUCACACGUUUCCUUUGCUUGCGUUGAUAACUGAUGGACUCGCUAAUGCUGAUGGAGAUAAGUGGGCUAAACACCGGAGGAUCAUCAACCCGGCAUUCCACUUUGAGAAGAUCAAGGUUUCUAGAUUCUCUUUUCUAAUAUGUCAGAUCCAAGUUAAAUUUCUUUUGACUAAUGAGUUGAUCAUAUUCCAACUUAUGUGCCUGUAUAUAUAGAAUAUGGUCCCUACGUUUCAUCAAUGUUGCCGCGAGGUUGUGUGCGAGUGGGAAAAGUUAGUUUCAGAUAAAGGGUCCUCUUGUGAGGUUGAUGUUUGGCCAUGGAUUGUGAAUCUAACCGGGGAUGUGAUUUCUCGUACCGCUUUCGGUAGCAGCUAUAAAGAAGGACAGAGGAUAUUCAUACUACAAGAGGAACUAGCAAAGCUCAUCAUGCAAGCUCUUGGAAAGAAUUACAUCCCUGGAUAUCGGUAAGAAACUUGACUUGUUUUGGUCUAAUACUAGCAUGACUGAUUUGUUUUCUAACACAAUAUACAAUCUUCUUAUGUUAUUUGGAAGUCACAAAACCUGGUGCAGCCUCUCCCUCAGUUAUAUGUUGCAGGUUUGCCUCCCCAUGGGUCUCUCCACUAACCUUGGAAUCUUUCACUUCCUUGUCAUUGCUAUUCUCUUCUUCCAGAUCAUCCAUGGAAUGUUCAGGAGUUGCCUUUGAAGGUAAAUCCUCGUGCAACCCAUCAUCGGCUUGGAAACCGACAAUAGCUUCCACAAAGACAACAUCAGAAACCAGUAAUAUAUUGUUCUCUACUUGGUCAUGGAUGAUUCUAUCGUCUCCAAGCUUCUUCUCUUCCUUCUCUGACCUGCUCAGAAGCAUAACCAAAACGAAAUCACCAAUCAUUGCACCAAUCAAACAAAAGACUUAAGGUUUGAUAUAAAUUCCAACAACCCUAACAAUAAAAUAGAGUAGAAACAAAACAAUAGCUCAGGAUUAUCACCACAAACUAUAGAGUACUCGUCUAUUUUCAAAGAUAUACAUAGAAGAAGAAUUCAUUGAAAAUGAAACCAUAAAAGCUUACCCGAAAGAGAGGAGAACAGCUUUCUUCUCAGGGGAGACGAUUCCAUUUUCAGAAAAAGAAAGUGUAGCUGUCUCGCUGACAUUCCCUGCACCUGCUUCCCCUUCAUCACCAUUCAUUUGGGAAGUCACAAAACCUGGUACAGCCUCUCCCGUAGUUAUAUGUUGCAGGUUUGCCUCACCAUGGCUCUCUCCAUUAACCUCUGGCACUUUCACUUCCUCUGAAGGCAAAUCCUCGUGUAACCCAUCAUCGGCUUGGAAAGAUUCAGGCUUCGAACUGUCGAUAGCUUCCUCAAAUACCUCAUCUUCGGUAUCCCUCGCAUCAACAUCAGAAACCAUCAAUUCAAUUCUCUUUACUUGCUCAUCGCUGACUCUAUCUGCAAGCUUCUUCUCUUCCAUAUCUGACCUGUUCACAACCAUCAAAAAGAAAAUCCUUCAGUGAACCAAACGCCACCAAGAGUUCCAAGUGAUUCAUCACAACCUCCGUCUGAGAACCAGAGAACCAGAUUCCUUCUGAUCUCCUCUUCCUUCUGACGUUCCUGAAGACGUCAUGCAUCGUAUCGGCCGAUCCUUCAUUCCCUUAGAACCCGUGCAGAUACCACGGCUCAGUUCUGUGAAUCUCACGAUCUUCUCGUUUCUCCUUUGUUCCUCCGCCGCGGUUCUCUGGUUCUCAGACAGAGGUUGAGCCGGCGACGGCAAGGUUUUCUGUGGCAAGCCUCCAUCGCUGCGUUUAGAUCUCAUCGGAAUCCUUCGAGAUAGAAUAACACUUCUUUUAGGAUCACUGGAUAACGUGGAUUAAGAGAGGAAAAGCAAAGGGUUUCACGAUUUGAUCUAGCAAAAUGGGAUCUGGAAAAAUGAAAAAGGGAAACGUCAAAUCUAUGGCCUCUCGGAUCGCGAAAGGCGUGAAGAAGAACCAAAGAAACGGAGCUGGGCUUGAUGACGUGGCAGAAAAACGAUCUUUGAUUGGUCAAUUUUAUUGUGUGACGUGGACAUCCUCUUUGAUGCUCAUAUAACCCUUUUAAUAUAGUAUAGAUAUGUAGAGAGAAAGUGCAUUAACUAAAUCAUAAAUAUUUAGUUUCGUGUUUCAAGUAAUUAAUAAUAAUAUAUGUACUACUUCGAUCUUCCUCAAAGAUAAAUAUUUUUGGAAAAUACUUUUUUCACAAAGAUAAUUUUUUGUGUUUAAAAAUACUUUUUUCACAAAGAUAACUUUUUUUGUUUUCUAUGUUUUUUACUAUUUAAUGAUAAAACUAUUAUUUAAAAAAUAAACUUAUUAAAAUACUACUCCCUCCGUUUCGAUUUAAGUGUCGUUAUAGGAAAAACAUUUCGUCUCAAAAUAAGUGUCGUUUUAAUGCAAAAUUUAUUAAUAAGAUUAUGCACUUUAUUUUUUUAUUGGUUGAAAAAUGGUUAGGUGUAUAGGUAAUUGUGUUUUUGUUUUGGAAAUAUAUAAAAUCAUAUGUUUUUUUAAUCCAUAUGCAUAAACUUAGAACAACAAUUAAAAUGAAACAGAUGGAGUAUCGGUUUAACUAUUAAAACUGAUAAUCAUAGAAAAUGUAUUAAUUAUACAAAUUUAGGGUGUUCUUGAUAUGUGUGCUCAAGUUUAAAAAAAAAUCUAUUUUCGUGGAACAAACGAAAUAACAAUUAUGGCAAGAAGUUAUAUUGUAACAAAAAAAAUUAAAAAGAGUUAAAGGCAUGGAAGACAGAUGUGGCCAGAGGUCGUGAGGUUCCAAGUAAAGGCAAAAACUUCGACUGUUACAAGAAAAUUACUUGUCCGAACACACAAAUUCUAUAAAUAUUAACGACAUGUGAUCACCUGCAUUUCUUCAUCAAAAUUAUCAAACUCUUAAUACACCAAAAACAUUAGAAAAUGGAGACAUUACUUACAUCAUUGGCUAUGGUUGUUGUAUUGUGGUGGAUAUGGAGAAUUGUGGAGUGGGUUUGGGUUAAGCCUAAGAUGCUAGAGAGUUACCUCAGAAAACAAGGUCUUGUCGGCACUCGUUACACGCCUCUUGUCGGAGAUGUGAGAAGAACUUUUAGCAUGUUGAAGGAAGCAAGAUCGAGACCAAUGAAACCAACGGAUGAUCUCAUUUCAC